UACGUAGGUGGCAAGCGUUUGUCCGGAUUUACUGGGCGUAAAGCGUGCGCAGGCGGUGAUGUAAGACCGAUGUGAAAUCCCCGGGCUUAACCUGGGAACUGCAUUGGUGACUGCAUUUGCUGGAGUAUGGCAGAGGGGGGGUGGAAUUCCACGUGUAGCAGUGAAAUGCGCAGAAUAAUCAGGAGGAACACCUAUUGCGAAAGGCAGCUCGCUGGG
rnacentral:rRNA from 1 species